UACAGAGGGGGCAAGCGUUAUUCGGAAUUAUUGGGCGUAAAGGGCGCGUAGGCGGCCUGACAAGUGGAAGGUGAAAUCCCUCGGCUUAACCGAGGAACUGCCCUCCAAACUGUUUGGCUUGAGACCGGGAGAGGUGAGUGGAAUUCCCAGUGUAGCGGUGAAAUGCGUAGAUAUUGGGAGGAACACCAGUGGCGAAGGCGGCUCACUGGACCGGUACUGACGCUGAGGCACGAAAGCGUGGGUAGCAAACAGGG
rnacentral:rRNA from 1 species